CCUGUUUCCAAAGGGGGACUUUGCUUUAAUUAUUUUUGCUUCAGAUUUCAUCCACUGAAUUAUGAAUUUCUUACAGGAGACUUAAGAAAGUGUCUUGCUUCUCCAGAGGAAACUGCAGACUUUCUCAAAUAAUGAGCUACUGGCUUUGUGGAAUUGCCUCCUUUGUUGUCAUGGAAACUAAAGUUAUGAAAAAUGGAAUGAAAGAAGCCAGUAAUGCCUCCCAUAGUUUUGCUGUAACUCUUGGAGACAAUUAUUUUUAAAACCUUUGGAUGAAAAGGAUGACCAAUAUGGAGUUCUGUUGAAGAGUAACUGAACAUUUAUGUACAUAACUGCAGCAUACUGAUGCUAGUUAAUCAAAAUCCUAAAGAAUUAUACUACAGAUCUUAGUCCCAGUGAAGGUAGUCAAAAUUUAGCAGAAUUUUAUCCAAGUCAUGAAGAAUUAUUGUUCCUCAAACCCCUGGAAGCUUCCACCAGUGGGAGUUAAUCUCCUUCUGAAGAUUAACUGGCAGCUUAGUCCUAGAAUAAGGACUAAAACAUUCUUCAUCGGUUGUUUCCUGAAGGCUAAUAUACCAAACUCUUCCAGAACAAAGCUGUGUACUGUCCCCAUUCAAGAUGAAUCACCUGAACAAAAUCAAGCAUAUAUUUUGUUUAAAAGAGCUAUCUCGUGGGAACAGCCCUGCAACAAAUCUCCAGCCUAAUUGGUCUUGACAAUUUAUAGUUAUGGCAUCCAUGCCCAAUAUAUCCAUAACUGAAUUCCAAAAAAGAAUCUUGUACUUUAGAUUAGUCCCACAAUACAUUAACAUGGUCAUUUUACUUCUAUAAUCAUAUAAGUCAACUUCUAUGUUAAGAAUGUAUCUGUAUAAUCAGGGCCAAAUCAGAAGUACUUUGCACUGGAGAUAUACUGAUAUUUUCUGAGCAUCGCUCAAAUCCUAAUAUUGGUUUAUUUUUUCCUGACAGUUUGACAAUUAGAUGGUCACAAGAAAUUUUACAGGCAAAUAUUAAACAUCUCAGUUAUAUUUCCUUCAACCAGAAUCACUCACCAACCCUCACAGGCUUCUUGCCCAGAAUAUUAGCAAAAUCUUGUUUAUUACAAUGCUAUUUUAAUAAUCUUAAAGGCUCUGGGAUUUAUCCGUGGACACUCUGCAAUUACUCAUAAUGCUAUUUAAAUAAAUACAGCUCAAAAACUUGAAAUAAAGGAAGAAAGUGAAGCAAUAGCAGUCCAGUCAUAAGACAUGGCUUUCUGAAGUAGGUAGUGACAGUGUUUUCAGCAAUCUCUUUUGAUAAAUUUAUUGUUAUAUGUAUUCACUACCACACACACUGAUACAGUUACUGGCACCUAAAAGCCAGUGACGGUGGCUUUUAUAAAAGGCACCUACCAGGUAUGUGAUGUCCAUUUCUAUGUAGUAGAUAAAUGUGUAGAGCACUGGGUGUAUAGCUAACAUCUUGGGUUAAUUCUCCUCUUCCACUGAAGACAAUUCAGAUUUAAACAAGGCUAUCUUCAUUAUCUAAAUCCUUGUUUAGGGCCUGGGUGAAAAUACUCUCCAGUAUUUCUGCUGAAGCUGUCCAUUCUGCAGCAAUUAACUUCUCUUACUACUGAAUGGACAGCAGAACCGUGUUGAUCAGCAGUUAUUGUUCCCACGUGAAAGAGAAAUCAAAGAUUUUUACUCCUAUGACUCAUGGAAAUUUUCAUUAAAAACAAACAUACAAGCCCCACCCUUGAAUAUAUGGCUGAAGCAUGUUUGAGAGGAGAGCUCUGAUCACAAUCACACUGCAGCUCUCUUUUUUCUGGUUGCUGUGUUAGGGCCCAUGCCUUCUCUGUGGGGAUCAGACUGGGGAGCUCUCUGCUGAACAUGCUGGGUGAAGUUAAGUUCAUACUGACUCAUCUAAACCUAAGCAUUUCUCAGGAAUCUCAGCAAAUCUCAGAUAAGAUGAGGAACCUAUGCUUAACCAUUGGAACAUUUUUGCAGAAGCUCAUUCUCUACUCUGACUGUGGUGAUAUAUGGAUGACCAGCAAAAAGCAGAUGAUUCCUAGAUUCUUAUUACUAAAAGGAAGUGCAAGGAAUCUCAUUCUACCACAAAGUUCUCAUCGCCAUAGUAUAUCAACAUCAAGAACACUCCGUACAACAUUCUUCUGUUCUGUAUCCCAGCACUGGCAGCGGCAUCAUUUUCUAGCUCUUCUCCAGCAGGGCUACCUGCUGUCCUCCCUAUGGGCCAGCAGCUCCCAGCUCCACCCCUGCCAUGGGGCCAGGCUUGUCUCUGCUGGCUGCCAAGUGAGAAACUCACUGUAUCAGAGGAGCAACUUGCUGUAUAUGACAGUGGGAUAACAGACUGUUCUGCUUCUGAGCAGAUAUCAGUGGUCCCUAAGGAGAGUGGGAAAAUUACAGAGGGACCAAGAGGGAACCAGAAGAAAAAAAGCCUCAAGGGAAAUGGAGAAACACAAAAAGAACAGCUGCAACAGAAGAAACAACACAUAGGACCUGUGUAGGUGUAAAAUUAAAACAAGAUGAUUUAUAAAGAGCCAUGGAGGGAAGAGGCUGUUGGACAAAGAGAGAGGAGAUAUAAUUCAGAAUUAAAUUUUUUGGGAGACUUGAAUUGGUCUUUGCACAGCCUGGCUAGUGAACAGUUAAACCAGUUCUCUUGAGUAACCUAUACAGUGACAUUUGUUCCCAUAAAUUAUUCACUGAAUACUGACAAAUAACAAACUCAUUUGUUUUAACUGGCUUUCAAGCAAAAAAAAGGGUGAAAAUUUCAAUACAUUAUUCAAACAGCUGGAGUUCAGAUAUGUUUUUAUGUAUGUCAGCCACAAAUACACUUGAGGUGUUAUUAGAUGGCAAGUGUGAUAAACGGGGCAUUUGCUUUGCAUCAAAUGCUAUUGAUUGCCAAGCUCAGAGGGUCGUUGUCUGCUGAAAAUGUGGAGUAUUUGAGCUUUUGCCAGUUCCUUGUUGCUGAGCAACAGCAUUUGUCCCUUCCAGUUUCUAGUGUGUAUGCAGCUUGUACAUAUGGAUUAAACUGAACGUAGAAUAAAAACUACCUUAACUA